CCUACAGGAGACAGCAGUGGGGAAUAUUGGGCAAUGGAGGAAACUCUGACCCAGCAACGCCGCGUGAAUGAUGAAGGUCUUCGGAUUGUAAAGUUCUUUUCUAAGGGGAGAAGAAAGUGACGGUACCUUAGGAAUAAGCCUCGGCUAACUACGUGCCAGCAGCCGCGGUAAUACGUAGGAGGCAAGCGUUAUCCGGAAUGACUGGGCGUAAAGGGUGCGUAGGUGGUUUGACAAGUUGGUAGCGUAACUCCGAGGCUUAACCUCGGCACUACUACCAAAACUGUUGGACUCGAGUGCAGGAGGGGUAAAUGGAAUUCCUAGUGUAGCGGUGGAAUGCGUAGAUAUUAGGAGGAACACCAGUGGCGAAGGCGAUUUGCUGGACUGUAACUGACACUGAGGCACGAAAGCGUGGGGAGCAAACAGGAUUAGAUACCCCAGUAGUC
rnacentral:rRNA from 1 species